rnacentral:lncRNA from 1 species
GAGAGUCGCACGUCUGUGAUGGUGGUCUCCCAGGCACGCAUGGCCAUGGAGCACGGGAACGUGUGCGCCUGCUGGGAGCACAUGGGAAGACUGCACGCCGGGUGCUGAGGCUUCCUGUGAAAAAAAGAACCUGAAACAAGUCUUCCUGAGACCCAGGCUGGUGUGGACACAAGGAAGCCCCGCCGGAGGGCCCUCUUUACAUGGGGAGGCCUGAACCCUGAGCAGUCAAGGAAGUUUUGGAAGUGAGUAGCUAUGGCUUCUCCACCUGCUCCUGCCUGGACGGCGCCCUUCAGAACUCAAGCCCAUCCAUGAGACAGCACCCACCGGGGCCAGUGAGUCACUCCAUGAAGGCCAAAGAUCACCUGGACACGAGUCUCGGGGUAACCAGCCCCCCUGCAGACCUGCAGAAGCUUGGACAGCAAGUGGGAGUCAGCAGUCAGGAAACUCGGGGGCUUUGCACCUGGAGGGAAGCCCACCUGAUAUGAAAAUGCUUUCGAAGCUUGUGGAUCGGAGAGGCCAGUGGUGUACCGGGUGGUCCAAUCGAUCAGUCAGGACGAUCAUCAGCCCCAUUUCUCAGGUGCAGUACAGCACGUCCACGUCCUCCCGACACCGUGAGUGCGGCCACACCGAAGCCAGGGGAGCAGGUGCGCUUCUCCAUAGGUCCUGGUUUAAAGCAAGCGGAAACACCACAGGCUCGGGAUUGAGGUGGUAAGGGACGUCCAGUCCUCAGGUGAGGUUAAGUCCUUCUACAGAGACAGCACUGGGGGGACCUCACAGUGCCCCCCGGGAAGCGCUGUUUGGGCAGGCUGCAGGAGCUGAGGCCAGAGUCCUGGCACGGGGCUACGGGGCCCUUGGUGUCUUUCACUGCUGUGACGGGGGCUCCCUGCUGCCCCGGCACCUGCGGGCCUUGGCCAGUCCCGAACACCAGGUUGUGGCAGUGGAGACCUGGGGGGUGGCCAGCGGCCCCCUAUGGAGGUUCUGCCGUGCGUGUCAGGGCCCCAGGCAGGGCUGUGCAGCGCCAGCCUCACUAUCAGUGUGGACACACAUCUGUGGGAGGGGCUCUCGUUUUCCCCACCUUCCGGUGAGGGAACCAAGGCAGACUCAGCACCAAGCAGGGGUCAGGCCCUGGUGGAGGUGGAUUUUCUUCACUGUGGCACAGUCCUGCUCAGUUUCUAGUCCUGAUGGAGGUGGUGGAGGCCCUGGUGGAGGUGGAUUUUCUUCACCGUGGCACAGUCCUGCUCAGUCCCUGGACUGCCCCCCUGCACCCAGCAGCACAGGCCGCAGAGCCCAGGAGAUGUGGGCAGGAGCUUUCCCCUCGCCUGCCCCACUCCUGCCCACCCAGUGGGCACCCCGUAGAUGGGAGCAGCUCUCCGUCUAGCACUUGGACUGCUGGGCUGAGUCAUGGCUGCAGGCAACGGCUUAGUGGCAUCUCCCAGGUGCCACUGCAGGGAUAGCCUCUGUGUCUCCAGGCUCUGCUGUGGCCCCGCGGAGCCAAGCUUACCCAUGCCGCUGAGUCGGGGGCUGCAGAGGCCUGUGCGGGCUGCGGUGGCUAGACCUGGGCCUGGCUGCUCAGAUGCUGCUGGAACCCUGCUCUCAGCCUGGAGGCUGGCAGGUCUGCCAGGGGCCAACGGGCAGGCAUCGCCCGUCUGAAGCUCUUUGCCUCUGAAGGAGCUUCAGCGCCAGCCAGGGGCAGUUUAUGAGAAAUUCAGAGAAACAUGUAGGCUUCUCUGUGUCUUCUGAAGAACUGCCAAUGCCUCACCCACCUCUGGCCAGAGGACUCUGGAAAACUUGCGUUUCUGGUAUGUAUAGAAAAGCGACAUGCUAAGCCGCAAAGCCGCCCCCUUCAAGACGCAGCACACGCAAGGCUCACCCUGCCACGAGCACUGGUACCGGCUCACUUUCCGCUCUGCUCGGCGGGACUCCGGCCAGGCCCAGCGUGCAGCUGCAGAAAGGUUUAGAGUGAGGCUUCCACUUCACUCUCCGGUCCAAGAGUUAUACUAUCUGGUGGAAGUGUUUCUUUUUCCUUUUUUGGACAGUUAAGCUACAGCGAUGGGCCAACUGGCACCAGUGUGGAGAGACAGGUAUUCCUCACUUUGUGGCACCAACGUGGUUCUGGCAAAGUGGCCUCUUUUCCAGUAAAACAGUCUUCUCCCCUCCCUCGCCUUCCAUUUUAGGACCAGUGGUUUGUCCCUGGGGAAGCAACCCCAAUUACAGCCAGCUUUGCCAUCUGUGGAAAUAGCCUGGUCACCAGAGGCACAGAAGCCAGAUGCGUGGCCAUGCCGGCGGCAGCACCCGCGGCAGCACCCGGGGCAGCCCCUGCCCCCGACCCAUGAAUCUCAGUGUCCCCCAGGCCGCCCACGUCCCACUCUGCCCAGCCUACACCACCUCCCUCACCGCAAAGUGCCCGCUCUGCAGCUCCAUGCCCCUGCCCAGUGGAGCCUCAGCCCCGUCCCACCUGCAGCAUGCCCAGCCCAAGUGCCCGAAACCCAGAGCCUCGGACUCAGGGCAAAAGGAAGCCGCCCCAUUCCACCACAUCAGGGUCUCCACUGUGCUUAUUUAGAGCAGAGCACAACUCUCCUUGCGUCUGAGUCCCUUCACACAGGUGACUGAGAGGCUCAGGACAGAGCAUUGCAGGGGAGACAGAGGAGGGGCUCGGCCUCGCCAAGCAGCUGGCUCUAUUCAUUUAGCAGAACCGCUGCCCCACCCCCUCCCAGCCCCUGCACGGAGGGAGGCCACUGGGGCCGGCCCGUCCCCAACUUCUAUUUUGUUUUCGCCAGAGCCGCCUCCAGACUCCCUCUUCACAUUUUAUGUCAACUCUGGGGCCCUGCUGGCUGAAAGUGAGUUCUGUUUUCCGGCAGCCCUGUGGCUUUUGGACUCGGCCUUGAAAUUAGUUCAUGGCGACCCAGGCACACAUCGCGCUGGGAAGCCACGUGGGAGCCGUGCGGGUGGAGCGGCC